UACAGACGGCGCAAGCGUUAUCCGGAAUGAUUGGGCGUAAAGCGUCUGUAGGUGGUUCGCGAAGUCUACUGUCAAAUCCCAGGGCUCAACCUUGGACAGGCUGUGGAGAACUCGCGGACUAGAGUACGGUAGGGGUAGAGGGAAUUCCCGGUGAAGCAGUGAAAUGCACAGAGAUCGGGAAGAACACCAGUGGCGAAGGCGCUCUACUAGGCCGUGACUGACACUGAGAGACGAUAGCUAGGGGAGCGAAUAGG
rnacentral:rRNA from 1 species